UACAGAGGUCCCAAGCGUUGUUCGGAUUCACUGGGCGUAAAGGGUGCGUAGGUGGUCGGGUAAGUCUGAUGUGAAAUCUCAGAGCUCAACUCUGAAACUGCAUUGGAUACUAUCCGGCUGGAGGGUCGGAGGGGGGACUGGAAUUCUUGGUGUAGCAGUGAAAUGCGUAGAUAUCAAGAGGAACACCAGUGGCGAAGGCGAGUCCCUGGACGACUCCUGACACUGAGGCACGAAAGCUAGGGGAGCAAACAGGAUUAGAUACCCUGGUAGUCCUAGCCGUAAACGGUGCUUAUUUGCUGUAAAAGGAAUCGACCCCUUUUGUGGCGUAGCUAACGCGAUAAAUAAGCCGCCUGGGAAGUACGGUCGCAAGAUUAAAACUCAAAG
rnacentral:rRNA from 1 species